AGAGUUUGAUCCUGGCUCAGAACGAACGCUGGCGGCAUGCCUAACACAUGCAAGUCGAACGAAACCAAGGCUUCGGCCUGAAGUUUAGUGGCGCACGGGUGCGUAACGCGUGGGAAUCUGCCCUUGGGUUCGGAAUAACUCAGAGAAAUUUGAGCUAAUACCGGAUGAUGACGUAAGUCCAAAGAUUUAUCGCCCAAGGAUGAGCCCGCGUAAGAUUAGCUUGUUGGUGAGGUAAAGGCUCACCAAGGCGACGAUCUUUAGCUGGUCUGAGAGGAUGAUCAGCCACACUGGGACUGAGACACGGCCCAGACUCCUACGGGAGGCAGCAGUGGGGAAUAUUGGACAAUGGGCGAAAGCCUGAUCCAGCAAUGCCGCGUGAGUGAUGAAGGCCUUAGGGUUGUAAAGCUCUUUUACCAGGGAUGAUAAUGACAGUACCUGGAGAAUAAGCUCCGGCUAACUCCGUG
rnacentral:rRNA from 1 species